CCAGUGGGGCUCCCAUCACACCCCAGAGUGCCGCAAUAAGAAGGUGAGUUUGACACACCAAGAAUUAACCCCAAAUCCAAGCUCUUGAAUCCCAUUUGUCUAAGCAAGCCCAGGCUAGUUUCGAAAGAGACGCGGCGGAAAAGAAAGAGGCUCAGCAGAGCCAUGGAUCUGCGCUCCAGCCCAUUCCCAAAGACCCUCCCAGAUGGCAUCUCGCAUGGUAACACACAGAAAAUCCCCGGCCAUCGGCAAAGGGGACAUCUCAGCACAAGCCAGUCAUUUAAAAAUCUGUUAAAAAGUGGAGUGGGGGAAUAUGCCAGGCAAGCAAGAUCUGCAGGCCGGAGAGCUGGGGCCAGCUAGACCAAUUACUGCCUGACUUAUUCAGCAGCCUCAGAGAGAGAAUCUAAGAUAGAGAUAGGUACCAAGACGGAAAUUCAGAGCCAACUGGAUCCGGGGCACCACGUCCAGCCUAUUAGAGAAAUGGAGGCCAGAUGCAGAGUUUAGAUUCAGAUUCGGAUACCGAACCCUCUCCACUCCUUCUGAAGCCUGGGACUUCGGAUCAGAUCCCUUGCUAAUUCUACGUCACGUUAUUAAAGGCACUUUUAUCAGGAUCUCUCCGCACCAGCGGACAGCUGCCGAGACAAUUCUCCUCCAAGGACGGCGCCCGCCCCUGAACACCCGGUGCUGAAUUUACACACUGACCAUCAUGCAGCAAUUUAUUGCUGGGGGGGAGAGGGGGAGAGAGCCAAGAAUCAUGCCCCCCCCCCAGCUUCCACAGUAACAUCCCAGCCAGGUUAGAGAUUUUUCCCACCCUCCUCCUACUCUGGAUUGUUUUUUUCCCCCCUCCACGUCCCUCACUGUUUGCCAGACACAUUACAAACAUGCUAUUCGCUUGGCCCGUGGCCUCAGGAUAUUUGUGGCUUCUUUCCCAAGGCUGCCAGCUCUGGUUGAUCCCACUCCAGCUUCUAGGGACUGCCCCAUUCUUGGUAAGGGGGGAAAAGGGAAAUUCUUCCACUACCAGGUGCCCCGCUGCUUAGCAUGGGCACUGCCCUGGGACUUACCG